UAUAUUCGAAAUGAUAUGUCUUGUCUUUAAAAUAUUUCUUUCCUUCUCUUUUAUUUUUCGAGUACUUUGAUUCACAUGUGUAUUGUUGAUGUGAUUUAUCUCUCUUGUAAUACUACCCAUUUACAGUUUGUAAAACUAGUUAUUACUAUUCUAUACUUUUACUACAAUCGGACCAUGGAAAAAAACUUUUCCCGGCCACCUGCUGCAACUUCAGUUAUGUUCUAUCCCGAGGAAAAUAAUAUCGUUAUCGUUGGCAGGGAGGAUGGCUCUACACUAAUCUAUGGUGUUCAGAAAGAUAUGGUCUUUAUCUAUAUAUAUUGAAAUCUAAGUGUUGUCCAUUAAAAAAGAAUUAUCAUUUAGCUAUAAUGUUCUUAUUAUCUAUUUGGCUUAUAUAGAUGAUUGCCAAGAUAAUGCUCUUAUUAUCUAUUUGGCUUAUAUAGAUGAUUGCCAAGAUAAUGCUCAUCAGAAGAGAGUGACUGGCCUUGCUUAUUCUAGUGCAUUGAAUAUCCUUUUAUCGUCUGGAUAAGAUGCUCAGGCACAUUUUUAAAGUGGAAGGCUAAUAGAAGAUAUCAGAUGCAUCGGCAUAUUUCUGUCAAGUGUCACCAGGACCCAAGACAUUUGUUGGUUGUACAUGAAAGUUGUAUAGCCACUCCUGAGAUACCUAAUCUCGAGCCCUGCAAGCAGUAGAUUCCCCGGGAAUUGAUCAGUGAUGCUGCAUACAUAUUCAUGUGAUGGCCAGUCUAUAUAUGCCUGCUUUCUUAACAGGCACAUUGUUUCCUUGGACUCAGCAUCUUUGACCAUAAAAUUUUUUAUCAAUCCGAGUGCAUAUUUUACCUUCUAAUUAAAGCCGGGUGAUGUCUGCUUCUACUCUUGCGGCUAAUCCUACAAAACACAAUCAGUUUGCUCUCGGGCUUAGUGAUGGUGGCGUACUAGUUAUAGAACUUGAGGAAGAGGAUAUUGGGGUUGGCAUUGUAGCACGCCUUAGCUUGAGACCAGCAACACCUGAGAACUUAAUAUGAGCUUUUGUGAGAAUCAGAGCCCAGUGUCUCUUGAAAUCUAUAUGUUUUAAAACAUACAUCUAGGGAUUGGAUUAGUGCAAGAGUUCUGAAGUUUU